rnacentral:rRNA from 1 species
AAUCAACGCUGGCGGCGUGCCUAACACAUGCAAGUCGAACGCGAAAGGGACUUCGGUUCUUAGUAGAGUGGCGUACGGGUGAGUAACGCGUGGGUCAUCUGCCCUCGGGUGGGGAAUAACUAACCGAAAGGUUAGCUAAUACCGCAUAACACAGUGAUGUCAAAGCAGCAAUGUGCCCGAGGAGGAGCCUGCGUCUGAUUAGGUAGUUGGUGGGGUAACGGCCUACCAAGCCUGCGAUCGGUAGCUGGUCUGAGAGGACGGCCAGUCACAAUGGCACUGAAACACGGGCCAUACUCCUACGGGAGGCAGCAGUGGGGAAUUUUGCGCAAUGGGCGAAAGCCUGACGCAGCAACGCCGCGUGAGGGAUGAAAUAUUUCGGUAUGUAAACCUCGCAAAUAUGGGAAGAACACAAUGACGGUACCAUAUGUAAGCCACGGCUAACUUCGUGCCAGCCGCCGCGGUAAGAC